rnacentral:rRNA from 1 species
UACAGAGGUCUCAAGCGUUGUUCGGAUUCAUUGGGCGUAAAGGGUGUGUAGGUGGCGCCGUAAGUCGGGUGUGAAAUUUCGGAGCUUAACUCCGAAACUGCAUUCGAUACUGCGGUGCUUGAGGACUGGAGAGGAGACUGGAAUUCAUGGUGUAGCAGUGAAAUGCGUAGAGAUCAUGAGGAAGACCAGUGGCGAAGGCGGGUCUCUGGACAUUUCCUGACGCUGAGGCACGAAAGCCAGGGGAGCAAACGGA